AUUGAACGCCGGCGGCAGGCUUAACACAUGCAAGUCGAGCGGGCGAGGUUGCUUCGGUAACUGAGCUAGCGGCGGACGGGUGAGUAAAGCUUAGGAAUCUGCCUAUUAGUGGGGGACAACAUUUCGAAAGGGAUGCUAAUACCGCAUACGUCCUACGGGAGAAAGCAGGGGAUCACUUGUGACCUUGCGAUAAUAGAUGAGCAUAAGUAGGAUUAGCUAGUUGGUGGGGUAAAGGGCUAACAAGGCGACGAGCUGUAGCGGGUCUGAGAGGAUGCUCCGCCCAACUGGGACUGAGACACGGCCCAGACUCCUACGGGAGGCAGCAGUGGGGAAUAUUGGACAAUGGGGGGAACCCUGAUCCAGCCAUGCCGGGUGUGUGAAGAAGGCCUUUUGGUUGUAAAGCACUUUAAGUGGGGAGGAGGCUCUCUUGGUUAAUACCUGAGAAGAGUGGACGUUACCCACAGAAUAAGCACCGGCUAACUCUGUGCCAGCAGCCGCCGUAAAAC
rnacentral:rRNA from 1 species